GGUGUUCCAUUCCUCUUCCCUGGUGAGCCGUUCCUUUUAUUUCCCUCCUGUGGAGUUCCCCACGGUCGACCUGGAGCACUCUGUUUAUCUCCUGCUGUGCCCUCUUCCAGAUGGAACCUACUUUCCGGAGUUUAAUUCUCGGUACCCAGCUGCUUGAUCAGCACCCUGCCUGGAAGCCCAGAGUCUUCCCAAGCCUCCCAGGCCAUGGAACCGUCUCUGAAGCCUGCUCUUCUGCUUCUGCUGGUGACUCCAGCCAGCGACCUAGGCUGACAAUAUCCAGUGACGGAUCCUUCUCCUCUGGCCUUCAUAGCCAGCCCUCGGCAGACCUGUAAAUCCUGCGAGAAGACCACAUCCUGGCGGUCAAGGGCCGGUCUGGUGCCUCGGGACGUGUGGUGGCCCCUCAAAGACGGGUGUCUGGAUUCUCGCCUUGACCUGAAGCAGGGCACAGGCUCCUCAUGCUGGUCCACCCUGGCUUCCCCGGGUUUUCUCCUGGGUGCUUGUGCCUCCACACUCCCUAAAAAGGAGCCGGAAGCAAGAGGAGCAGACUGGUGUGGGGCACCCACCCUCUGACAGCAUCCCCAGGGUUGGGGGACCUGAGGUCCACGCCAGGUGAGAGCCCUCGCCUGUCAGCUCGAGGCCGAGAGCACCGCGUUUGACUUUG
rnacentral:lncRNA from 1 species